rnacentral:rRNA from 1 species
CCCUUAGAUGUUCUGGGCCGCACGCGCGCUACACUGACGAAUGCAACGAGCUUAUAACCUUGGCCGAAAGGUCUGGGUAAUCUCCAAAUUUCGUCGUGAUGGGGAUAGAUUAUUGCAAUUAUUAAUCUUCAACGAGGAAUGCCUAGUAAGCGCAAGUCAACAGCUUGCGUUGAUUACGUCCCUGCCCUUUGUACACACCGCCCGUCGCUACUACUGAUUGGAUGUUUAAGCGAGGUUCUCGAACUGCUAGCGACUUAGCUUCGGUGAGGUCGCAGUGUGGGAAGUGAACCUAGCUUUGGUGUCUAGAGGAAGUAAAAGUCGUAACA